CGGGGGGGGUAAGCGUUGUUCGGAAUUACUGGGCGUAAGGGCUCGUAGGCGGCCAACUAAGUCAUACGUGAAAUCCCUCAGCUUAACUGGGGAACUGCGUGUGAUACUGGAUGGCUUGGAUUUGGGAGAGGGAUGCGGAAUUCCAGGUGUAGCGGUGAAAUGCGUAGAUAUCUGGAGGAACACCGGUGGCGAAGGCGGCAUCCUGGACCAAUAUUGACGCUGAGGAGCGAAAGCCAGGGGAGCAAACGGGAUUAGAUACCCCGGUAGUCCUGGCCCUAAACGAUGAAUGCUUGGUGUAGCGGGUAUCGAUCCCUGCUGUGCCGAAGCUAACGCAUUAAGCAUUCCGCCUGGGGAGUACGGUCGCAAGGCUG
rnacentral:rRNA from 1 species